ensembl:lncRNA
CUUGUAGGUGUGACACAUAAUAACAGGGCACAGACCUCUUAAAUUCAUUAGAAAUUGUAAAUGUAUCUCUUACUUUUCUGCACCCCGAUGGAUUAGACUUUGAUGAGGAAACAACCCAACAUAGUGAUUUUUGAUCUGUUCAUUACCCAGCUGCAGAGGGACAUCCUGGUGGCUGGGCCACCCAACGGCAGAUGUGAGGGAAGCUGCAGUGCAACAGAAUUACCCCCUAAAAUACAUCACACUCACUCUCAGGAUUCACAAGUUAGAAAGACUCCAGAGAACCACAAAAACACACAGCCCGUGUGUGACAUGGUUUCAGCUGGUGGGGGAUGAGCGGUGUUGAUGAACAAACUGACUUUAAACCGAACCUGGCAGGAGUACCUUGAUGGAUUCGGCUCCCCGCAGACAGAGAACUGGUUAGGGAAUGCAGUUCUGCACUAACCGCCAAUGGGCAUCACACGCUCCGUAUCACUCUCCAAGACUGGGAUGAACAGACACGUCAUGCUAACUAUAACAACUUUAAAGUGGCAGUAGUAAACCAGAGGUUCUGCCUAACUGCUUGAGAUUACCAUGACGAUGCUGGCAAACAGUACAACCACGAUGGCAGAGUUUUCAGCACAUUUGUAACUGUGGCCAUUAUUAUGGUGCAGGCUGGUGGUUUGAUUCCUGUUUGGUCACUUACAUCAAUGGGCACUACUAUCAUGGGCAUUACAGUGGCAUCACGGAUGGCAUCUACUGGGGCACCUGGUAUAUCCUAACUGACUAUCACACAGGGGAAAGAUACUCAUUUAAGAGUGUUGAAAUGAAAACUAGACCAAAGCGGAGUUAAGGAAAACUUUUUUUUAAAUGACAAAUCCUUGUCAUGUAAUCAUACUCUUGCACUAUUUCAUUGUAGUAUUUCAUUUCAAUAAUGGGUUGUAAUUAUAUAACCUUGACCUGCCAUUAAACUUGAGAUUUUUAGAUAAUUGUAUGAUAUGAGAACAUAUUUAUAAACAUUUGUUCUAAAAUAAAUGUCAUAUUUUAAGCACUCUUUUACUCAGCAUAUAUAAUACAUUUUCAGUUACAGCUGCUCUUUUAAGACAC